GAGGGUGUAGCUCAGUGGUAGAGCACAUGCUUAGCAUGCACAAGGUCCUGGGUUCAAUCUCCAGUCUCUCCA
rnacentral:tRNA from 1 species